GACGUAGGGGGCAAGCGUUGUUCGGAAUUAUUGGGCGUAAAGCGCUUGUAGGCGGCACGUCAAGUCGCGUGUGAAAUCCCCAGGCUUAACCUGGGAAGUGCGCGCGAAACUGACGAGCUUGAGUGCCGGAGAGGGUCGCGGAAUUCCCGGUGUAGAGGUGAAAUUCGUAGAUAUCGGGAGGAACACCAGUGGCGAAGGCGGCGACCUGGACGGACACUGACGCUGAGACGCGAAAGCGUGGGGAGCAAACAGG
rnacentral:rRNA from 1 species